rnacentral:rRNA from 1 species
UACAGAGGUCCCAAGCGUUGUUCGGAUUUACUGGGCGUAAAGGGUGUGUAGGAGGUCAGAUAAGUCGGAUGUGAAAUCCCAUCGCUUAACGGUGGAACUGCAUUCGAUACUGUUUGGCUAGAGGAUCGGAGAGGAGAGCGGAAUUCUUGGUGUAGCGGUGAAAUGCGUAGAUAUCAAGAGGAACACCAGCGGCGAAAGCGGCUCUCUGGAAGACUCCUGACUCUGAAACACGAAAGCCAGGGGAGCAAACGGG